AAUAGAUACCCCGGUAGUCCACGCCGUAAACGGUGGGCACUAGGUGUGGGCGACAUUCCACGUCGUCCGUGCCGCAGCUAACGCAUUAAGUGCCCCGCCUGGGGAGUACGGCCGCAAGGCUAAAACUCAAAGGAAUUGACGGGGGGCCCGCACAAGCGGCGGAGCAUGUGGCUUAAUUCGACGCAACGCGAAGAACCUUACCAAGGCUUGACAUACACCGGAAACGUCCAGAGAUGGGCGCCCCCUUGUGGUCGGUGUACAGGUGGUGCAUGGCUGUCGUCAGCUCGUGUCGUGAGAUGUUGGGUUAAGUCCCGCAACGAGCGCAACCCUUGUCCCGUGUUGCCAGCAGGCCCUUGUGGUGCUGGGGACUCACGGGAGACCGCCGGGGUCAACUCGGAGGAAGGUGGGGACGACGUCAAGUCAUCAUGCCCCUUAUGUCUUGGGCUGCACACGUGCUACAAUGGCCGGUACAAUGAGCUGCGAUACCGCGAGGUGGAGCGAAUCUCAAAAAGCCGGUCUCAGUUCGGAUUGGGGUCUGCAACCG
rnacentral:rRNA from 1 species